rnacentral:other from 1 species
CUCGUCUGAGGGGACGCGAGGAUCGCCCUCGCUGUCGCCUGGGCCAGUGUGUCGGCCGGGCCCUGACAAGCAGCCCGAGGAGGCUCUGAACCGUGCCUGGAGCCCCGCGACUGCCGCCUGCACCUC